UCGCAUAGGAAAUUGUUGGGCGACUC
rnacentral:sRNA from 1 species